rnacentral:rRNA from 1 species
GGGUUGUGAGGUUAAGCGACUAAGCGUACACGGUGGAUGCCCUGGCAGUCAGAGGCGAUGAAGGACGUGCUAAUCUGCGAAAAGCGUCGGUAAGGUGAUAUGAACCGUUAUAACCGGCGAUGUCCGAAUGGGGAAACCCAGUGUGAUUCGUCACACUAUCGUUAACUGAAUACAUAGGUUAACGAGGCGAACCGGGGGAACUGAAACAUCUAAGUACCCCGAGGAAAAGAAAUCAACCGAGAU